CCCUUAGAUGUUCUGGGCCGCACGCGCGCUACACUGACGAUGGCAACGAGUUUUUCCUUCGCCGAAAGGUGUGGGUAAUCUUUUGAAACAUCGUCGUGCCGGGGAUAGAUCAUUGCAAUUUUUGAUCUUGAACGAGGAAUUCCUAGUAAGCGCGAGUCAUCAGCUCGCGUUGAUUACGUCCCUGCCCUUUGUACACACCGCCCGUCGCUACUACCGAUUGAAUGGUUUAGUGAGGACUCCUGAUUGGCGCCGCCGCCCCGGCAACGGAGCAGCGGACUGCCGAAAAGUUGUUCAAACUUGAUCAUUUAGAGGAAGUAAAAGUCGUAACA
rnacentral:rRNA from 1 species